GACAGAGGGUGCAAACGUUGUUCGGAUUUACUGGGCGUAAAGGGCGCGUAGGCGGUCAGCACAAGUCAGUUGUGAAAUCUCCGGGCUUAACUCGGAAAGGUCAACUGAUACUGUGCGACUAGAGUGCGGAAGGGGCAACUGGAAUUCUCGGUGUAGCGGUGAAAUGCGUAGAUAUCGAGAGGAACACCUGCGGCGAAGGCGGGUUGCUGGGCCGACACUGACGCUGAUGCGCGAAAGCCAGGGGAGCGAACGGG
rnacentral:rRNA from 1 species